AGGUUUGUUCCUUCCAAACAUGAAAUGCAGUCCUAUGAUAGCAGCAGGGCAACCUGUGAUUCAAAGUUUCAUGGAAGUCUACCAACUUGCAGUUUCCAGAGUUGAAGUAUUAGUGAGAGAAACAGAAUCUCUUCAGCUUCACAUUGCAUCCCUAAAGUCCAAGUUCCAUACAGCUAGUCUUCAUGAAAGUGACCUUACAGAUGGAAACAAGAGGUAAUUCAAACAUCAGCGUGGCUCCAAGCUAGAAAUUCAGCCUGACCAGAGUUCUAUCUCAGACUUUUUGGCAUUGCAAGCUGAACCUGACACAUCCUACAGUGUUAUGCAAAACAGAGACAGUUCUCUGUCUUCAAUCUGUUUCUUCAACCUGGAUGUCACAUCCAAUCCCAGAAGAACAAUGGAAAAUGGAUUUUCAAAUUCUUAGUAUCUUCAAGAAGGAAAAAAUUAUAUUAAUGUAAAAUGAUGCAA